rnacentral:rRNA from 1 species
GGGGAAUAUUGGACAAUGGGGGGAACCCUGAUCCAGCCAUGCCGCGUGUGUGAAGAAGGCCUUAUGGUUGUAAAGCACUUUAAGCGAGGAGGAGGCUCUUCUAGUUAAUACCUAGGAUGAGUGGACGUUACUCGCAGAAUAAGCACCGGCUAACUCUGUGCCAGCAGCCGCGGUAAUACAGAGGGUGCGAGCGUUAAUCGGAUUUACUGGGCGUAAAGCGUGCGUAGGCGGCUUUUUAAGUCGGAUGUGAAAUCCCCGAGCUUAACUUGGGAAUUGCAUUCGAUACUGGGAAGCUAGAGUAUGGGAGAGGAUGGUAGAAUUCCAGGUGUAGCGGUGAAAUGCGUAGAGAUCUGGAGGAAUACCGAUGGCGAAGGCAGCCAUCUGGCCUAAUACUGACGCUGAGGUACGAAAGCAUGGGGAGCAAACAGGAUUAGAUACCCUGGUAGUCCAUGCCGUAAACGAUGUCUACUAGCCGUUGGGGCCUUUGAGGCUUUAGUGGCGCAGCUAACGCGAUAAGUAGACCGCCUGGGGAGUACGGUCGCAAGACUAAAACUCAAAUGAAUUGACGGGGGCCCGCACAAGCGGUGGAGCAUGUGGUUUAAUUCGAUGCAACGCGAAGAACCUUACCUGGUCUUGACAUAGUAAGAACUUUCCAGAGAUGGAUUGGUGCCUUCGGGAACUUACAUACAGGUGCUGCAUGGCUGUCGUCAGCUCGUGUCGUGAGAUGUUGGGUUAAAUC